rnacentral:rRNA from 1 species
UACAGAGGGUGCAAGCGUUGCUCGGAUUUACUGGGCGUAAAGCGUACGCAGACGGUGAGAAAGGUCGGAUGUGAAAGCCCCGGGCUCAACCCGGGAACUGCAUCCGAAACCAUCUCGCUAGAGUAUGAGAGAGGGAAGCAGAAUUCCUGGUGUAGAGGUGAAAUUCGUAGAUAUUCGCAAGAACACCAGUGGCGAAGGCGGCUCACUGGCCCGAUACUGACGCUGAGGCACGAAAGCGUGGGGAGCAAACAGG